CCUACGGGAGGCAGCAGUGGGGAAUAUUGGGCAAUGGAGGAAACUCUGACCCAGCGACGCCGCGUGCGGGAUGAAGGCCUUCGGGUUGUAAACCGCUUUCAGUAGGGAAGAAGCGAAAGUGACGGUACCUACAGAAGAAGCACCGGCUAACUAUGUGCCAGCAGCCGCGGUAAUACAUAGGGUGCAAGCGUUGUCCGGAAUUAUUGGGCGUAAAGAGCUCGUAGGUGGUUCGUCACGUCGGAUGUGAAAAUCUGGGGCUCAACCCCAGACCUGCAUUCGAUACGGGCGAUCUAGAGUGUGGUAGGGGAGACUGGAAUUCCUGGUGUAGCGGUGGAAUGCGCAGAUAUCAGGAGGAACACCAAUGGCGAAGGCAGGUCUCUGGGCCAUUACUGACACUGGGGAGCGAAAGCGUGGGGAGCGAACAGGAUUAGAUACCCUGGUAGUCCACGCCGUAAACGGUGGGCACUAGUUGUGGGAACCUUCCACGGUUUCUGCGACGCAGCUAACGCAUUAAGUGCCCCGCCUGGGGAGUACGAUCGCAAGAUUAAAACUUAAGGAAUUGACGGCUGNGAGNGCGAGCGACACGAGGAGAG
rnacentral:rRNA from 1 species